rnacentral:tRNA from 2 species
GGGCGAAUAGCUCAGCGGGGGAGCACCUGCCUUACAAGCAGGGGGUCACAGGUUCAAAUCCUGUUUCGCCCACCA